rnacentral:rRNA from 1 species
UGUUCUCAGACUAGCCAUGCACGUCUAGUACAAACUAAAUGAUGGUGAACUGCAAAUGGCUCAUUACAACGGUUAUGAUGUACCCGGGAGUUCCGAUGGAUAUUUCCAGUAACACUAGAACUAAUACAUGUCCCUGCGUUUAUUAGUUUCGCACAGUCCGUCGCUGAGUCAUGGUAAACAGUUGAUCGACUCGACGUCCCGGAACAGUUUCCGCCCCAUCAGCUUCGAUGGUUGGGUAUUGGCCUACCAUUGCAACAACGGGUAACGAGGAAUUAGGGUUUGAUUUCGGAGAGGGAGCCUGAGAAGCGGCUACCACAUCUACGGAUGGCAGCAGGCGCGCAAAUUACCCAAUGCAGACACUGUGAGGUAGUGACGAGAAAUAAUAAAGCGGGACUUCUGUUUCGCUAUUAUAAUGAGGAAUAACCAAAGGUCAUUCCGAUUAGCAACUGAUGGGAAAGUCUGGUGCCAGCAGCCGCGGUAAUACCAGCGUCAGUAGCAUA